UCAAUUCAUCCCAAUGAAGGUUCGAGCUUCUGUUCAAGUUUGGCCACAACAUUUACUCCUUUGGAAGUUGAAAUGUGCAACAGAGACGUGUUCGACUUAAAAUCGAACUUAUUAGGUGAGAUACGAAGUUUAUAAUUUCUAGAGAAGAGCUAUCCUGGUUUGAUCACCCAACAUUUGUGUAUUGUUCAAAAUGUUUUAAUGUGAGUGGCCAUGUGAAUUUGUUAUAGACUGUUAUCAACUCUGACCGCAAAAUGUGCGGCGUGGAUUGCUUUGGUUUGGAGACUUGGACUACUAAUCAUAUCACGAGUUCUGAAUUUUAUCACA